rnacentral:misc_RNA from 1 species
CUGAAUUACUGGAGGUUGAGCUGGCUUUGCAAGUGCUCGCCUUCAAUAUUCAUCUUUAACCUUUGUGAACUGUAGUGAGACUAUGAUACCUCUCAGUGACUCUGUCAUUGGAUUGAAGGUCUGCGUUAGCUUUCCUUCAACUUCGUAGUCUCCCCCUUUCAUCUCCUUUAAACAAAGUCAUAGAAUGUCUUGUUUUAGGUGUAACAACCUAUAAACUCUUAUA